AGAGUUUGAUCAUGGCUCAGAUUGAACGCUGGCGGCAUGCUUUACACAUGCAAGUCGAACGGGGUGAGGGGGCAACUCCUCAUUCAGUGGCGAACGGGUGAGUAAUGCAUCGGAACGUGUCCCGUAGUGGGGGAUAACGCCGCGAAAGCGGCGCUAAUACCGCAUACGCUCUGAGGAGGAAAGCAGGGGACCCGCGAGGGCCUUGUGCUAGGGGGGCGGCCGAUGUCCGAUUAGGUUGUUGGUGGGGUAAUGGCCUACCAAGCCUGCGAUCGGUAGCUGGUCUGAGAGGAUGAUCAGCCACACUGGGACUGAGACACGGCCCAGACUCCUACGGGAGGCAGCAGUGGGGAAUUUUGGACAAUGGGGGCAACCCUGAUCCAGCCAUGCCGCGUGCGGGAAGAAGGCCUUCGGGUUGUAAACCGCUUUUAGCCGGGAAGAAAAGGCUGCUCCUAAUAGGGGCGGUUUUUGACGGUACCGGCGGAAUAAGCACCGGCUAACUACGUGCCAGCAGCCGCGGUAAUACGUAGGGUGCGAGCGUUAAUCGGAAUUACUGGGCGUAAAAGCGUGCGCAGGCGGUUCGUUGUGUCGGUGGUGAAAGCCCCGGGCUUAACCUGGGAAUGGCCAUGGAAACUGGCGAACUGGAGUGUGGCAGAGGGGGGUGGAAUUCCGCGUGUAGCAGUGAAAUGCGUAGAGAUGCGGAGGAACACCGAUGGCGAAGGCAGCCCCCUGGGCUAACACUGACGCUCAGGCACGAAAGCGUGGGGAGCAAACAGGAUUAGAUACCCUAGUAGUCC
rnacentral:rRNA from 1 species